AUGGACUCGAUCCAAAUCAAUGGUCCUUAUACAGUGAACCAUCCCCUGGUCCACAAAUUACGGACCAGAAGAUCCGGCCCCGGGAUGAAGCACCUUUUUAUUUAAAAAAAAAAAAAUCAAAAUAGAACUUUGAUGAUUCUGAAAAUAAGGAUAACCUUUUGAUUUUUACCUAAAAUUAUAUGCAAAAUUAUCUGACCCAUUACUAUGGGUCAGUCGAGGCCCAUCAGCGGCCGAAUCUUAUGAAACCCUAGAUCGUUGCUCCAUGUUAAAAACUAUUUAAUCUCACUAACCAGUCUCGACUCUGGAUCGGCGCCUCUGCUCCCUUGCGUUUACCUUCUUCCCAUCUAAAUCUCUCUCUCGAUUUUCGACUAUGUCGCACUCAACGAUGAGAACGUAGCAGACGGGCGGUCUGAAUCUGAUGCCUUGUUGAAUGUCUGCAACCUUAUCAGCCUCUGAGAGAUAUUUCCUCCUUCAGUCGGAGAGUACACCAGAUGAAAAAGAAACUCUUUUGGAGAUUUAAAUACUCAAUUUUUGCAUGGAAGUAAAUCAUAUGACUGGAUCAUGCAGUCGAAAAUUUAAGAUCCUCCAUGACAAACAAACCUUGUGGAGCUUCUUAACCCAUCGGAAUUGAUUUCUGAUACGGUCACUUCGCCUCUCCCUCCACUAACGUUGAUUGCAGGCAAAUCGUCAAAAGACAACCAACGCUAAAUCAUAUAGCUCUCAUGAGCAUCGCCGAAGUGGCUUUGGCCGGCCAGGUUGCAGAGGCAUAGCACGGGAGGGAGCAAUGGAGUUUAGCAUUUGGAUGAAUGCCUUGUGGUAAAUAUCAAGGUGUUUUCGGUAAACAAGAAUUCAAUGUUGGAGCAAAUUUUGUUAUGUGAAUUUUUUUCUAGAGUUGUCGAUCUAAAAUAGUGAAAAACUUUCUGAUAAUGUAAGUUUACAGGCCAAAAAUAAAGGGCAUUUUUAACGAAUCAAAGGGGACUUCUGAUAUAUAUUUAUUAUCAAAAGUCGUCUCACCCUCGUCUAAAAGCAGUAACUUUUUUUUUAUUAUAUUUGUCUUAUUGCACUUUGUACAUGAGAAAAAAAAAUAUUUUUAUAA